UUUGAUUUGUUUUGCUUUGCCUGUUGCUUUUCUAAUGAAUUAGUCCCGGUGUUUAAAGGAUUGCCUAGUAAAGUCAUUGAAACAUCAUUUUUUUCAAAUAUUAUCUAAAAUUUCCUUGGAACUAAGGUUUUAUGCAAUGAUCUAUUAAAUAAUGAAUACGCACAUGGUAAUAGAAAAUUAAAAUAUCCCUUUAAUUCCUACUGAUUCACUUAAGAGAAAAUUCAGAAACCUUCUCAUAUAGAAUUGCAAUUCCUUAUUAUGUUAUAUAUUUAUAAGUUGAUAAUGAAAAGGCAACUUUAAUCAAAAGUUAAUUUAAAAACUCACAACAUAAUCAUUUGGUUUAUUCAAUUAAAUAGUACUGAAUUUCAAGAGUGUGUAGUAAUAAUGAACAAAUAUAAAUUGAGGAAAAGAAGUGAAAGUCUCAGAAGCUUUAGAGUGAUGAAUAAGAAGGCUGAUACUGGUUACAUUGGCCUUUGUUUUCUAUUGUACUAAAGUUGCAGUUAAUGAAAUAUUUGAGUAGCAAAGAUAAGAGACAAAGAUGCUUCACAAAAUACUGGUAAUAAAACUCUUCUUCUAAAAAGACAGCUACCCAAUAUGCUUGAUACUUAUCGAGGACCUAUAUUUUUUAAAAAACAGAAGCCCAGCAGAGUCAUCGUUUCUCUAGGCUCACAUUCUCCUUUGUCUAGUAGGAUGUGUGUUAUGAAUAUAAAUGAACUUUUGAGACUUAGUUAUAAAGAUCUCUGGCACAUCACUAAGCAUUUUAGUCCUCUCUGUUAGCUGGUUUCCUGUGGGCUGUGUCUGUUAUCUUUCCUCUCAUGCCGCAUCCAGUCUCUACUGUGAUUAGGCUCUUGAGGACAGGGGAUAUUUCUUCCUGAAGUUUGUACCUGCCUAUCCUGGCCAAGGUUUCUGCUCUAAAUUCUUUCCUAUUUCCUUACCUUGGUGAGAUGGGCUAUAAGUCUAGGACUCCUACUUUUAUCUUUCUUGACAAAUACCUAGAGCAGGUGCAGCUCUAGCUGCUCAUCUCACACUCCUUCUGGCGUAGAAGAUCUGCCUGGAUCUUCUUAUCAGAGGCAACUUUCUAAAGAUUUUAUCAGCCAAGAAGAGAAAGUUUGGCAAGCCAUUACAAGAAGGGAACUAGAAACUUCUUCAAGUUCAUAGGUCUCUAAUCGUGGGAAACCUCGUAUGGCAGAAUGCAGGUCCAAAAGUCCUGGACUCUGAUCCAGAUAAACGGAAGUCUCAGGAAGAAAUAAAGAAAUUGGGACACAGAGAAUGUAAAUGGAGAUGCAGUGGAAUCAGACUCCAGAGUUCCCACUCAAAAACUUUUCUCUCUCUCCUAUCUUGUGAGGAAGGACAUUUUAGGUAUUACUUCAUCUAGAAAGGAAUGGCUCUUCAGCGAGGCAAGCAGAACUGGGAAUGCAGAGCCCAGGUUUGCAGCUUCACUUCUGAAGUCAAGCGAUACCAUGAACCCACCAGAAGGAAGAAACUCUGGACACAUCUGAAGGAAUAAACUCCGGACACACCUUCUUUAAGAGCUGUAACACUCACUGCGAGGGUCGGCGGCUUCAUUCUUGAAGUCAGUGAGACCAAGAACCCACCGGAAGGAACCAAUUCUGGACACAUUACCACAGGACCUCUCGGUCUAGUCUUUUAUAGGCAUACCUGCUUCUUGUUCCACCCACCCCCAUACCCAAUACCUGGUAACCACUAGUCUGCUUUCCAUCUCCAUAAUGUCAUUAUUUCAAGAAUGUUAUAUAAAUGGAACGAGAUAGCAUAUAGGCUUCUUAGUUUGCCUGUUGAAAAUACAGCACGAUGCCCUUAAGAUCCAUCCAAGUUGUUGUAUUAUCAAUAGUUUGUCUUAUAUGUGAGUAGUAUUCCACAGUAUGGAGAUUCCUCAGUUUAACUAUUUACUUUUGUGUAGUUUCUAGUUUUUCCAUUAUGAAUAAAGCUGCUAUGAACAUUCUUGUGCAAACUUCUGCAUGAAUAGAAGUUUUCAUUUCUCUAGGAUAGAUGUCCAAGGGUUCAAUUGCUGGAUUGUAUGGUUAGUCUGAUCUUAGUUUUAAAAGAAAUGGUGAAACUAUAUGCUGGAGUGGUUGCAUCAUUUUACCUUCCCACCAGCAAUGUAUAAAUGACACAAUUUCUCUGCCUCCUUGCCAGCAUUUGGUGUUGUCACUGUUUUUUUUUUUACACAUUUUGGUAGGUGGGUGUGUAUUGAUAUCUCAUUAUAACUCUGAUUUGGAUUUACUUAAUGGCUAAUGAUAGUGAACAUCUUUUCAUGUGCUUAUUUCCCAGCAAUAUUUGGUGAAAUAUCUCUUCAUUUUUUUCCUAUAUUUUCUAAUUGGAUUGAUUGGGUGGAGUAUCUCUUCAUUUUUCUCCCAUUUUCUAAUUGGUUUGUUUCCUGUUGAAUGUUAAGACUUCCUAUGUGGAAUGCUUGUACACUGUUGGGAGUGUAAAUUAGUUCAACUAUUGUGAAAGAUGGUGCAGCAAUUCCUGAAAGAAUUAAAACCAGAAAUACCAUUCAACCCAGCAAUUCCAUUACUGGGUGCAUACCCCAAGGGAUAUAAAUUGUUCUAUCAUAAAGACACAUGCACUCAUAUGUUCAUUGCAACACUAUUCACAAUAGCCAAAACAUGGAAUCAACCUAAAUGUCCAUCAGUGAUGGACUGGAUAAAGAAAAUGUGGUACAUAUAUACCGUGGAAUACUAUGCAGCCAUGAAAAAGAGAUUAUGUCUUUUGCAGGAACAUGGAUGGAGCUGGAGGUCAUUAUCCUUAGCAAAUCGAUGUAGGAACAGAAAACCAAGUACUGCAUGUUCUCAUAAGUGGAAGCUAAAUGAUGGGGAGACAUGGACAAAGAGAGGGGGACCACAUACACUGGGGCCUACUGGAGGGUAGAGAGGGGAGGAAGAAAAGGAUCAGGAAAAAUAACUAAUGGGUACUAGGUUUAAUAGCUGGGUGAUGAAGUAAUCUGUAUAACAAACCCCCAUCACACAAGUUUAUCUAUAUAACAAACGUGUACCCCUGAGCUUAAAAGUUAAAAAAGAGUUCCAUGUGUAUUGGAAAUACAAGUCCUUUGUCAGUUACAUGAUAUGAAAAUAUUUUCUUCCAGAAUGUCAUUUGUCUUUUUGUCUUCUUAAUAGGGUCUUUCACAAAACAAACAUUUUAAAUUAUGAUGGGGUCCAACUUAUAAAUUUUUCUUUUCACUUACUUUUUAGUCAACAAAUAAUUAUUGAAUAUCAACAAUUUAUUAAGAUAUUGUUCCAGGCACCCUGUAGAGAUCACGGAUGUGACAUAGCUUUAACUUCGGGCACUUAGAGUCUAGCAGGGGAGAUUGGAGAUCUAUGCAAAUAACUAAUAAUACAUAGCAAGUGCUAAGUGACAUGGAAGAGGUCGAGAUACAUUUUUGGCUGAUAAGGAAGCAGUGAGUGAAAGUUUUAUUUCACCACUUAUGCGCCAGAAAUGUCACAAAAUAGCAUAGAAUCUUCAUUUAUAAACUCAUUUUCCAGGUUGAAAAUGAUAGUUUUUAAAUAAGUAACAUAUAAUAAAUCUCAUGUACAAAAUGAUUCCACAUACAUUGUAUCAAUAACAAUCUUACAGGGUGGUGGAGAGGAUUACAACAUAUUUUAUAUGUGAAAAAAUCUUGGAUUCAGCCAAGUUAAGCAACUUGCCCAAGGUCAUGCAGCCAGGAAGUGUAUAAACUCAUCAGUCUUCUGGCUAAGAAAUGAAUUGUCUGAUUCGCAUUUUAAAAGAAGACGUGGUACGGUUCCUUGUGCACACAAAUGUCAAAGAGCUCUUAUUGAUAAAGGAGGAAUCCAUUAAUGCUCUUACGGUGGUCAAGAUCAUGCAGAAAAUGGAAAAACAAGCGCUGCCUGUGAGUCAUGAAGUGAUGCUAUGGUUGGAUUCAAUGACAUUUUGCUGGAGACUGCUCAGGAUGGGGGAAUUGAGAACAUGGUAUUUUAGGUCAUCUGUGCCAGACACACUGUUAUCCAAAAUCAUCUUCAGAUGCCAAACCUUUCACAGAGAACAUUAAAAAGCAGUCAGUAUUAGCGCUGGUGAAGAAAGGUGGGCCUGUUUCUAACCCAAAGGACUACCUACCAAUAGGAAACUGGGGCUCAUUUUCAUUCCUCUGUCUCUGGGCUUCCAUCUGUACUUCCUGCCUUAUUUGUGACCUUGCUCGAAUCACUUAACUAUUCUGUAUUUAUUUGUCUUUCUUUUAAAGUGUUUAUAACUUAGGUAAGAUGUUAGGACUUUGAUUCUGAGAGUCUGUAAAGAAGUGGAUUGACUAAGUCAGCUUUGCAAACAUCUGCAUAAUGCCAAAUAAACUUUGAACCCAGCA